UAUUUAAGCUACUACAAUACGAUCUUAUGAAUCGGGUCAGGUCAGGAAUGAAGCAGCCCUAAGUAAGCUCCCGUAUGUGUAGUAGUUUUUUUAUACAAU
rnacentral:SRP_RNA from 1 species